CCAUGCAUUGCCGUUUGGUUAUAACAUACGACUCUCCCAAACCGCGACGAACUUGCAUCAAUAGAUUCAGCUGCGGGAUCGGCCAUUUAUUGGGGGGAUUUUCCUUAAUAGAUUUAAACGGGAUUCUCUCAAAAAAAACCCAAGGUUUUGGCCUUUUCCCUUUCACAAAAUCUUUGUGUUUCAUCAUCUGUUUUGUUUUAUUGC